rnacentral:rRNA from 1 species
AUUGAACGCUGACGGCAUGCUUAACACAUGCAAGUCGAACGGUAACAGGCCCUUCGGGGUGCUGACGAGUGGCGGACGGGUGAGUAAUACUUAGGAAUCUACCUGGUUGUGGGGGAUAACCCGGGGAAACUCGGGCUAAUACCGCAUACGUCCCUCUGUCUUUGUGACAGGGGGGGGAAAGCGGGGGACCUUCGGGCCUCGCGCUAUCAGAUGAGCCUAAGUCCGAUUAGCUAGUUGGUAGGGUAAUGGCUACCAAGGCGACGAUCGGUAGCUGGUCUGAGAGGACGACCAGCCACACUGGGACUGAGACACGGGCCCAGACUCCUACGGGAGGCAGCAGUGGGGAAUAUUGGACAAUGGGCAAAGCCUGAUCCAGCGAUGCGCGUGUGUGAU